GUAGGGAAUAUUGGGCAAUGGAUGCAAGUCUGACCCAGCCAUGCCGCGUGGAGGAUGAAGGUCCUCUGGAUUGUAAACUCCUUUUUUGGGGGAAGAAUAGUUCUCUUGCGAGGGAAUGUGACGGUACCCUAAGAAUAAGCCACGGCUAACUACGUGCCAGCAGCCGCGGUAAUACGUAGGUGGCAAGCGUUGUCCGGAUUUAUUGGGUUUAAAGGGUGCGUAGGUGGUUUGAUAAGUCAGUGGUGAAAGCUGGUUGCUCAACAAUCAAGUUGCCAUUGAUACUGUCGGACUUGAGAGAAGUGGAGGUUCAUGGAAUGGAUGGUGUAGCGGUGAAAUGCAUAGAUAUCAUCCAGAACGUCGAUUGCGAAGGCAGUGGGCUGUACUUUAUCUGACACUGAGGCACGAAAGUGUGGGGAUCAAACAGGAUUAGAAACCCGAGUAGUCC
rnacentral:rRNA from 1 species